GACUGGCCCGCUGCGGGCGGACUGGGGAGCCGCUCAGCUAACGGGUCCGGACGCCGACCGAGGCGGCGGCUUUCUCUGCACUGGCGGCGGCGGCGGGAGCGGCGAGCAUGGCCCGCGCGGCGCCCGGAGCUGACUGAGAUGGAGGCUUUUUCCAAUAGGAAUGGCAUCGUCACGGGAGGAGCUCCCCGCCGCACCCCCCGUGCCCUGGCUGCCCAUCCAUGGAAGUCCUGCAUCCCCUGGACUGCAAGAGCAGACACAGGCGGCUCAUGGCAAGUGGUCCCUUCCUCGUGGUGGCCCAGGAACAUCUGCAUGGUGGAUGGUGUUACGCAGGCCUCUGUCUGGGCUGUGGGGGUCGUUCACUCUGCGUGUUCAGCCAGCUCCCUUGGCCCGACUAGGCCUGCCUGUGCCCUGGAGAGGCCCCAUCCUCUCCCGCCUGCCCUGUCACCUUGGCUUCUGAAGUGCCCACCCUCCUGUGUGUUUCCUGCUGAGACCCCGGUGAGGACGUAGCUCCAGGGCCACGGCGCUUCCUGGGGUGAGUGGGGUACUUCCUGCUGGACAGGGUCGUGCCCCACUCUGUCUUCCCCCUUAGAAGAUGAUGCUCAGGACAGCAGUGCCGGUUUCAGGUACAGAGACAACUUUGGCCUCAGUUUGCCCGUCACUUCCAAUUUGUGGGGGUACGGAGGUUUGACUCAGCCUAGCAGCGCCAAGAGUGGCGUGUUGUGGAAAGAACUCUGUGGGGAUUCCCUGGCGCUCCAGUGGUUAGGACGCCACAGGUUUCGCUGCUGAGGGCCCAAAUGCAAUCCCUGAUGGGGAACUGAGAUCCUGCAAGCCGUGUGCUAUGGCCAAAAACAAAGCAAACAAAAGCCCACAGGGUGAGACCACCACAAACCCAGCAGAAUGGCUAGUCUCCUGAGCUGUCUGCUGACCCAGCCUGGCCAGCGCGCUGUAUCUGCCCCACAUGCCUAGCUCCCACAGGUGCUCUGGCCCACCUGUUUCUGCCUGGGGUCCUGUUCUCAGAGAUCGGCCAGCCUGGGCCAGGCCUCCUGCUCCACAGUGUCUGCGCUCAUCCCUGCCUCCUCCUCUCUGUGAUGCUGAAACCCAGCGGUACCUCGGGGGUCCUGCCUGGGUCAUUCACAGCGUAUUAUCAGCUCCGCGGUGACAAGGACGGUGGCUUAGCCAGAGCCAGGGAGGAACGGAAGCAGGUGUGCACUGGUCUCGACAGUUUACCAGCCACCUGCUCUCUGCCCCCUGGAGCUGACUGUUAGUGAGCCCGGGGAAAAUGCGGGCACAGGGCAGGACUGCGUCCGAGGGGGUUGGCGCUCGGAGCGCCUCUGUGGCACUGGGCAGGGUGCAAGCUCAGGGCCUCUGACUGGAUCGCACAGCUCUGCCUUCUGCUGGAAAAGUGACUCCGGAGGAUGCAGGCUGAGCGAGGGGCCCACCCCUGGGCUUCUCUGCACCUCCAGUCCCGGGGGAGAGAGACGACAUCGCUCCCUUUAAUCUCCUGGUCCAGGCGUGGAUGCAGACACCUCCUUUGGGUUUUCAUUAACAUAACUGUCACAGGCUGACCUUUCCAGAAGACAUUAAUAAAUAUAAAAGG
ensembl:lncRNA